rnacentral:rRNA from 1 species
CCUACGGGGGACAGCAGUGAGGAAUAUUGGUCAAUGGGCGAGAGCCUGAACCAGCCAAGUCGCGUGAAGGAUGACGGCCCUACGGGUUGUAAACUUCUUUUGUCAGGGAGCAAUUUAGUCCACGUGUGCGCUUAGCGAGAGUCCCCGUAGAAAAAGCAUCGGCUAACUACGUGCCAGCAGCCGCGGUAAUACGGAGGGGGCAAGCGUUAUCCGGAUUUAUUGGGUGUAAAGGGAGCGUAGGCGGCAAGGCAAGCCAGGAGUGAAAGGGCAGGGCUCAACCCUGUAUAUGCAUUUGUAACUGUGUUGCUAGAGUGCAGGAGAGGUAGGAGGAAUUCGUGGUGUAGCGGUGAAAUGCGUAGAUAUUAGGAAGAACACCAGUGGCGAAGGCAGCUUACUGGACUGUAACUGACGUUGAGGCUCGAAAGCGUGGGGAGCAAACAGGAUUAGAUACCCGGGUAGUC